UGGGAUGCCCAUGAAAUAGACUGCUGUGGGCUCUUGUAUGUUGUUAAAGCUGUUUUCAUCCAGGCUUGUGAAGAGUAUUCCAACACACUCCUGACUGGAGCCCUGUAGAUGGUUACAGGCUUUGGAGAGUUAGGAGAUAUUGUCAUCAGCUGGCAUUUGUGUGUUACAAAUGUUACUUGCCUCCUAUCAUCCCAAACCCGGAUAUUGUCUAUGUCUUGCUGCAUUUGGAGGUGGACUGCUUUUUCCUCUGAGGAAAUGUGAAUGGUGCUGAACAUCCCUCAUUCUUACAUUUUCAUUGAAGGUAAGUUAUUGAUGAAGUAGCUGAAAAUGGUUGGGCCAAAGACAUCAUCCCGAGGAACUGAGACUGAGAUGAUUGAACUCCAACCACCGCAACCAUCUUCCUUCGUGCAAUGUAUGAUUUCAACCAGCAAAGGGUACUCCUUUCUGAGUCCAUUGAUUCCAUCUUAGCCAAGGCUCCUUGAUGCCAGACUCAAUCAAAUGCUGCUUUAAUGUCACGGGCAGUUAGUCCAGCCUCUGGAGUUCAGCUCUUUCACCCUCAUUAGGACAAAGUCUACCGAAGAACCAGGAGCUGAGUGACUUUGGAAGGAUGGAAUUUGCUUUUAUGUAAAAGGAUUACAGAUUUUGGAAGCCUGGUUGGUAGUUUGUAGAUGGGACACAUUGCAACUGUGCUGCUCCUGUGGUGGAGGGAAUGAACGUUUUCAGUUGUGGAUGGCUGCCAAACGAUUGAAUUGCUUAUCUUGGGUGAUGUCAAGAUUGUGUGUUAUUACACGCAUACAGAGAGGUGGAAGUUAUUUCUCUACAUUUUUAACUUGUGACUUUAGAUGGUGGAUCAGAACAGGAAAGUCCUGACAUGAAUAUUUGCUGAAGGACACAGAGCAUCAGACUUCUCUCUGUACAGGAUUUAUGUGUCUGUUCAGUGGUAAUUUCCAAAAGUUGAUGCUAGUUGACUUGGUGUUGACAAUGACAGAGAAUGUAAAGUGCAAAUGUUUAGACUCUCUCUUUGCAUUGGAAAUUGUCCAUCUCUGAAGGGAAUCAUCAAAUAUUCCUAUUUAGGACGACUGCAGCUGGAAUCUACAGUCAUAGAGGUAAUUUAGUAAGCAACAUUGUUUUCAGAUAUUUUAAAAAAUCUAUUAACCUUCAAAAUUGGUAGAGUCAGAACCACAGAUCACUCAGCAAGUGUUCGCAGUUUCCCUUUAAGAAAACACAGUCAUUGGAUUGGACUGUAGGUAAAACUGAAACACAGUGCUCUGAGGCUCCCACUCCCUACCAUCCUCCAAGUUAAAGUACAGUCUUUAGAAAUUAAAAUUGAAGACCUCAGAGCAAGAUUGCUGUACCAGAGUGACAUCGGGGGCUGCUGUGUACUUGGCUUCACUGAGAUAUGGCUCACUUCCAGUAUUCUAGAUACAGCGCUUCAGCCUGAGGGCUUCACCUUCCAUCACUGGGAUUGAACAGCAGUGUUAAGUAAAGGCAGAAGCCGUCAGAAGGCUAUCUUAAGAGUAGAAAUGCAAUUUUGUGUUAAAUUAAAGAUGCAAUUGAAUACAAGUCACCUAGAGCAGUCAAAGAAUAGAAAAGGUAAUACCUGGGAAAGGAGUCUCCACUGGCCUGGUUUUCCUUGUGAUCCUGACCUAAUCUCCAUGUGUCUGACAUGGAGUCUUCCACAUCCGUAAUGGUUGGUCUCUGUAGAGUUGUCGCUGCCUUGCAUUCGAGGCUCCUUACUUUUAAAUACUUCUUAUCAAUUCAAAUGUCGCAUUUCAAACCCAUCGGCUCAUGGUCAUCUGGCUGACCAUGUUCGCAAUGGAAGUAGCCCAAGGCUACAAGCAGUAUUGUUCUAUGGCCUUCGCCUGCCCUUUCAUUUCUUUGGUAACAACUUUUAUUCUAUUCAACUGUUGGUUAGAUUUGGGGCAUGUCACCAUCAUUGCAGCCUGGAUAUAUUGGCAGUCCAUAGCCUAUGUUGUGAUUGUGAUUAAGGAUCUCGGCCUGAAGUGUUGACUAUUUAUUCCCCUCCAUAGAUGCUGCCCGACUGCUGGAGUUUUCCAGCAUUUUGUGUGUGCUAUUCAAAAUUUCUAGCAUCUGCAGCAAUUCUUGUGGCUGUGACCAGUACACUGAGGCAACUUUUUAAUCUCAUUGAGUGAAUUGAAUUGUUGAAGGCUCUUUUUCCUUUGGUUGGACUGAUUAUUAGGAAGAAGCCAAAAUGGAUCAUCCACCCAGCACUUUGAAUAAUGAUAACUGAAAAUGCUUCAACUUUGGCAUUCACAUGAUAAACAUCACCAUUGUUCGGGGAGAAGCUUUUCAUGGAAUAUUUUCCCUCUCACUGCUUAACUGUACCACCACCUUCCACAAAUAGAUAUGGCAGGACUGCCAUUCGUUGGCCUACUCUUUUGACCACGGGAUUACUUAGCUCAGUCAAUUGCAUGCUGCAUUGAAGGGUUCAAUAUGUAUUAGACCUCCUGCUGCAGUUUCACCCGCUUAGUUUCUCUUGGCACUGGUCCUGGAUGCCUUCUUCUUGAAACAGGUGUAGUUCCUUGGUUUGAUGUUAAUGAUAGCCUAAGUGUUAUGCUAGAUCACGAGGUUACAGAUUGAGGUGAUAUAUAACUGUAGAACUAAUGUAAAAAACUUAUCAUAAUAGUUUUUAAAAUAUAAGUGGAUAAAUAUAUGAAGAUAAAAAUUGAUAGGACUCUCACUGAAAACUGAUAUAAGCAGGGUCAAAUUAAUUAUUCGUAUGCCAUGAAGCUCUGUGAUUCUUUAGAGCUGAGGGAGGUGUUAAACGAUGACAUAUCCCUUUGAGCCAUGAUUGGGGGCAAUCAUAAAAACCCUGACCUACAAUCCAACCUUGCAUUCCACAGAUGGUGCCUUUAUCAUCCCAGCAGUGCAGGUGCCAUUGUGUUCAGGCUAUUUGACCAUCUGUCUUCCUGCUUAUCUCUGCACCAUUUAAUCCUAUCCUUAACUAGGCAUUUAUUAAGCUCCAUUUUACUUGACUUAAUUGACUUGGCAUUAAAUAUCUUGCUUGCCAGAAAACCAUUACUUAAUGGGAAAAAAAUCUUCUUGAUUCUUACUUAAAAAUUAUCAAUUUGCAGGUAUGCCCUCUAGAGUUAUUCAAAUAGCCCAAAUUAAAUACCUUCUUUGUACUUAAUCAAUAACCAUUGACCUUUUUAAAGAUGAUUCAUACCCCUUUUCAAAGCUUAUGUGUUUCCUGGAAAAAUCAUUCUAAAUCUUUCUUAAUAAUUGUCUAGUUUGAUUUUUUCACUUAUUCUACAAACUGAGCUUAAAAACUUCUUUAUCCAAUAAAAAUAUUGUUGUUAUUCAUCUAAGAACUUGGCUUGUUAAUGAAUAGAAUACUGCCAGGAACAAUGAUCAGAUUUGAAUUCGUUCCAUAAGUCUAUAGCUUUGAUUUAUCAAAUAUCCUCUGAAAAUGAAAGGAAAUUACUAUCAAUUGAAACAAGCCGUCCUGCAACUUAGUUACUGCCACAAUUAUUUUUUAAUUUGAUUUUGAAGCAUGACCUAUUGCUUCUAAAUUGAUGCUGACAUUGUCUUAUGGUGUCCGUAUUUUUUAAAUGAAUAUUAACAGAUUCCUGACAAAUGUUUGUGAAACAAUUUUCCUGUUACUGGUCUGCUGACCAAAUGAUGUGUAACUGGCUGUUUUGUGUCAUAUUUCUUUUAGCAGCACCAGAGAAAGAAUUCAUCAAUGUCCAGAUACAUCCCUUAAAGUUUUCUAACAGCAGAUAUUUGGCUCUGAAAUGAAGACCAGAUCUUUGCAUUGAUCAACCUUUAAGAGAACUUUAAUAUUUUAAGGCAUUUUUGCAGAGUUUUCACGGAUCAGUGUCAUUAUCAUCACAGCAUCAAAAUACUGAAUUUAAGUUAAAAUGAAAUGACAACAAGUAUCAUCCCUGAAGAAGAUGACAGAGUCUGUCAUCAGAACGCCGGUUAUCAUUGAUACCCAUACCCGGCUGGAAGCCCAAGAAGAGUUUAUUCAUCAUAUACGCCGGGAAGGCACUAGAUCCUUUCCCAAAGAGUCCAAAUUCAAUUCUGCA